UGAUCCUGGCUCAGGACGAACGCUGGCGGCGUGCUUAACACAUGCAAGUCGAACGAUGAACCAGGGCUUGCCCUGGGAAUUAGUGGCGAACGGGUGAGUAACACGUGGGCAACCUGCCCCAGACACCGGGAUAACCUCUCGAAAGAGUGGCUAAUACCGGAUACGACCACUUUGGGCAUCCAACGGUGGUGGAAAGGAUUCUGGUCUGGGAUGGGCCCGCGGCCUAUCAGCUUGUUGGUGGGGUAAUGGCCUACCAAGGCGACGACGGGUAGCCGGCCUGAGAGGGCGACCGGCCACACUGGGACUGAGACACGGCCCAGACUCCUACGGGAGGCAGCAGUGGGGAAUAUUGCGAAAUGGGGGAAACCCUGAUGGAGCGACGCCGCGUGGAGGAUAAGGUCUUCGGAUUGUAAACUCCUGUCAUGCGAGAGCAAGAUUGGUCAUUUAAUAGGUGAUUAAUUUGAUAGUAUCGCAAGAGGAAGAGACGGCUAACUCUGUGCCAGCAG
rnacentral:rRNA from 1 species